AUCUCCCGGCUCAACUGGGAGCGGUCAUGGGAAACUGGCAAGCUGGAGGGCAGCAGAGGAAAGCGGAAUUCCGGGAGUAGUGGUGGAAUGCGUAGAUACCCGGAGGAACACCAGAGGCGAAGGCGGCUUUCUGGGCUGUACCUGACGCUGAGACACGAAAGCGUGGGGAGCAAACCGGAUUAGAUACCCGGGUAGUCCACGCCCUAAACGAUGGAUACUAGAUAUAGGGGGUAUCGACCCCUCCUGUGUCGGAGUUAACGCGAUAAGUAUCCCGCCUGGGGAGUACGGCCGCAAGGCUAAAACUCAAAGGAAUUGACGGGUCCCCGCACAAGCGGCGGAGCGUGUGGUUUAAUUCGAUGAUAAGCGAAGAACCUUACCUGGGCUUGACAUGCAUUUGCCAGCCCGUGAAAGCGGGUCUUCUUUCGAGACAAGUGCACAGAUGUUGCAUGGCUGUCGUCAGCUCGUGCCGUGAGGUGUUGGGUUAAGUCCCGCAACGAGCGCAACCCUCGUCGUUAGUUACUAUGUCUAGCGAGACUGCUCCUAAAAGGGGAGAGGAAGGUGGGGACGAGGUCAAGUCGGCACGGCUCUUACGCCCAGGGCUACACACACGCUACAAUGGUCGGAACAGAGGGUCGCGAUGGCGCGAGCCGGAGCUAAUCCCAAAAAUUCGGCCCCAGUUGGAAUUGCAGGCUGAAACUCGCCUGCAUGAACGCGGAGUCGCUAGUAAUCGCAGGUCAGCACACUGCGGUGAAUACGUUCCCGGGGAUUGUACACACCGCCCGUCACGUCAUGGAAGUCGGUAACACUUGAAGUCGCUGGGCUAACCGCAAGGAGGCAGGCGCCGAGGGUGGGACUGGUGACUGGACGAAGUCGA
rnacentral:rRNA from 1 species